ensembl:lncRNA
UCUCUAGCUCUCGCUCUCGCUGGCUCUCUCUCUCUCUCUCUCCCCGGCGUCUGGUCCACGGCGAUGGACGCUGAGAUCCUUUUCCAAGAUGGUGGGGGGGGGGGGCGCUGUCAGAAGAAGCCUCUUUGUAGUUUGCUCUGUUCGCAGGUGUUCCGGCAUCCGUUGUUGGACGUUACGAGCUGCCGGACAUCUGGAGGCCCGGCGCCGAACCGACGCAGCAGCUCGUCUGAUAACAUCUUCUGACCGAUUACACGUUAAGCAACACGUGCACAUACGGCCUUCCGGACAGUGUUACGUGUUGUACUGAGGUGUUUCCUGUGCAGAAAAAAAUGUUUCUCUGUUUUGCUGCAUUCUGCUGAAAAAGGAAACCCUUUUUUAUCAUUUCUUAAUUGAAUUGACAUAAACAGAAAGUAUAUGAAAUAAAUACAGUAAAUAAAGUAAACAAAGCCUCACGUUUAGACUUCUUGACUUCCUCAACAUUUCUGCCCUUUUUUAAAUGUCCCCAUAAAGGGAUGUGCACAGGGUUCCUGAAUGUUAACUUUACCCAAAUAAACAUACCUGAUUUUUUUCUUUCUCUGUUCUGCUGGAUUCUGCUGAAAAACGAACCCCUUUUUUUGUGAUUUCUCAAUUGAAUUGACAUAUCAGUAUGAACACAAAGUAUAUGAAAUAAUUACAAAAUAAAAAAAAAGAUGUUUUCACAACUGGAAUAAGGCACACAGCGUGAGAAUGAAUGGCUGAGACAGGUAAGUACUUUGUGAGGGUCGGGGGUCGUGCUCCGUCACGGUUGAAGUAAUAUUCGGUUGUUUGGUUAGGGAACAAUCAUGGACGUGGUUUUAAAGAAACCUGACUGGCUGGAGGAAACAGGAAGCCAGCCUCCUCCCUCCAAGGCUCUGCAUCGACACACGUCUCUCCCACGGGACCAGAAUCACGGACCGGACGUUGGUCCAACAGUCGCUAAAACACCUGGUUUGGACGCGGUUCGUCCUGCGGGGCCCAAACAUAUUUUCCUCUUGUAACUUUCAAGGCAAAGUUCUUUUAACUCAUACAUAUUUAUUUAAUAAAUAGAUUUUCUCCGCCUCUAACAAUGACGGUGUUCAUCACUUUGUUAUUACAUAAAUGAAUGAUGUAACUGUGCGUUCCCAGAGACAUUACGAAGAAGGAAGGAGGCGCCGGGCUGCAGCGAGGAGACUGAACGCCUCUAUUUCCUCGUCCUGCACCCGCCUGGAACCGGAUGAGACCGACUGGUUAGUUUGGCUCUCUUCUCGCCCCCGAAUGGUGUUUCAGGCCCUUUCAAGUUGUAGCUGAAAGUCCAUGUGUUUCGAACUUGUCACAGUGAAUCGCCAGGGUGGGAGGGAGGGUGGAAGGGAGGGGGGGUAAACCCAGGAAUACCUGCCCACCACCCGCGCAGGGCCAGCAUCUGUGAGCUGUUAAGACCACUUCAUCUGCCCACCGACGGGAGGGUUCAGGCGUGAAAGCAGUCCGGAGGACAAGAUGUGUUCAUGCGGGCUUCGCUGCAGAAUGAAGAUACGAGGCGCUUUUAGGGGUGAUUUAUUGCACGCUGCGACUAAUUGCCGGUUUCUCCUCACGUAAUUGAGCGUUUAAGGAUUUAACGAUGGGAAAUGCCGUAAAAGAAAUGCCGUUCUAGAAGGAAUUCAUGCUAGAGAUGUCUUCACGCUCCUUCUGGAAUUCGAACAGGCUGCUGCUCCCGUUUGGUCAAAAUGUGACCUGCGGAGGGUUUGAUGUGAGGUGUCAAAAGCCAAAGAUCAUCAGGAAUUGCUUUUCCGUCUCUGAACUUCAUCCUCAGAUGUUCUUCCAAUGCGAUUGAAGCUUCGGUGACGGACACGGCAGCCACCUGAUUCAUGAUCUCGCACUGAUGUGAGCGAGCGGAUCUCAAUCUGCUCGUCUGACUGUGAAAUGUAAACUUACAUCCCAGAGUUUAAAAACGCCCGACGCUUCAUGAAGCAAACUCAAACAGGGAGAGUCCGCCGAGAGGGUCGAAGGUCGUCUUGUUGACAGAAUCGUCGCGUUUUGACAUAGCUCGUGACCUCUGCGUGGACUCCGUGUCCUGAGGUCAGAUCUCUGGCGGUUUGUCCGUGGUGCUUUUAUUACUUCUUUGUCUUUCUUGGAAUUUGACGGAUUUCAAAAUCUCACUCAGGUUCUUUCUGCAUUUAUUCGACAUAUUUAACAUCUUAAUAAUAUCUACCGCCCGUAUUUUUUGUUUUCUUUCUCCUCGCGGCGUUGCUUUCACACACUCGCCAUGCAUCGUGUGUUAGUAUUAGGUGUUCACACAGGUUAUCACACGCUGUAACGCACACCAUUCUUAUCGGAGUUAGCGGCGCGUAUAAGAAGAUGAUGCAUGUUUUGUCAACCCCGUUUCUGUUUGACAGGUUUCGAGGCUUAAGCCAUUACCGAGGCAUCGACAGACGGACGGGAUCAGAUGCAUCAGCCUUCAUCUUUUCUCCGGGGACUCGGCGCUCACUUCCCGAGAACAAUGGCGCAGAUAAGUGUUUAGUUGUUCGGGUGCGAUCCCGCGGUAUUUCACCCCGGCACCGCCAAACCCGAAAAAGCCCACUGACGGGGGGAAGGCAGCCCGCCCUGCGCCGCCGCAAUUAAUAACACGUGAUUCCAUCGGCUCACAAAGGAGCAUGUCAAAGGGCCCCACCUCGCUCCUCUCAGGCCUUUCACGAUACAAAUCCCCCCUCCGCCGUCCUGCAGGCUGCAGGGUUUCAAAAGGCAUCACCCCCCCCCCUCCCUCCUCACUCACUGUGUGUGUGUGUGUGUGUAACUUCUUCAACCUGCACAGGAAUCCUGUGAUGACUUGUUGUCGCGGGCAAACAGAUUGAGCUGUCAUGUGUGUCAGACGGGGGCUUUGUUCUGGCAUUAAGAGCAGAGAACGUUUCACAUCCAGAGCGGUUCUUCUUCUGAAGCAGGGAGACGUUUAGCUUUGACUGGUGGCGGGCAAACCCAUCUCACUUCAGCCCAUUUUAAAAAAUAAUAUAUGUGUUACAUUAUUUCACCUUAAUUUGUUAACAUCUCCUUAUUGUUGCAGCUGGUAAAGGAGACGUUUGCGUUUUGUUUCCGUCACGCGGCGCUGAGUAGAUGACAGAGAACGUUUGAAGUAAUUGUCAUGCAUCUUCAUAUAGCAGGAUGCCUCCCUCUGAUAUGCAGGUUGGCUCGGUACACAUUUGCAUUCGCGAUCUCUUAAUGUGCAACGAUAAAUGAAGCCGACUCAAAUGGCUUCAUCUGUGCUCCUGCAGAAAGAAUCACCUCCACACUUUGCUUUCUGUUCUUUGUGCACGUUAUUUCUAAAUACAAAGUAAAAACGCAGGCGGCAGGUCGGGACUUGAUGCUGCUGUAUUCUUACAUGCUCAAUAUCGCUGUGUAAGCAAUGCAUUCUGGGAGUCAUGACUCCUGUGAUCCAGUCUAGAUGCGUCUUUUCACCGGUUUCACAUUUUGCAGACAAAGUAGAGAUAACUCGCUGUAAAACUGCUACCAGUUUUUUUAUUUACAGUAAGUGUCUGUAUUUUGAGACGGAGAAUCUGCAGAAUGAACACAAGCUUGAUGACAAGAUGGCUGCCAGUGAUUGACCGUCGUUUCACGGUAAAAGGGUUUAGCGUUCUGCCAGAGGGUUAAACCCUCACCGUGCUUUUGUUUUUUUUGACUACGUUCAUAACAGAAAGAGCCUCGACAUCGAGAUCUCACAAAAGCUGCACAAGCGGAGCCGUUUGUUCCGUCUGAUAGAAAAGUAAUUUAUGACGGUGUCACUUGUAAUACUUUCAAAGCCGGCAUUACGCUGCUACUCAUCCCCUGACAGCUUUCAGCUGAACUCAGUGUUCCCCGUCUGCAAAGAACAACACACACACACACAGCUGAACGCCAUCUCAAAGAGGUGUGCUGACGCAAGCCGGUCGGCGUCUAUUUUUAUUCAGACUCAAAUAACACCACGUUACAGGAAGACAUGUCUCCAAAAAUUCCCCAAAGAAAAGCCAAACGUGCCGGAGGUUGUCACGGCGAUGCGAUUUCCAGAGGUUUUCUACCGGCCCGCACAGCUGGGGCGAGUUUGCUCAGGUGGGAUGCAGACGGGCCGGCUGAGGGCCGCGAGGAGCCUGCUGGACACGAGGAGGGAACAACGGCGCGCGAAGAGAGCACGCGGAAACACUUUCAAUGCUCUUUUAUUCACUCGUGUCAAAACAAGGCGUUUUUCUGUCCGUCUCGUUUUGUCUUUCUGCUCGAGGCGCCGGCGGGUUCAGAAGUGGGAAACUUUUCUCACAGGUUCGAUGCUCGGAUUCUUCUCGUGAAGCGACUUGUUUCCAAAUGUGUGUUACACGCAUUAAAUGUUUCUUACAUGCAUUAAAUGUUUCUUACAUGCAUUAAAUGUUUGUUGCAUGCAUUAAAUGUUACAUGCAUUAAAUGUGUCUUACAUGCAUUAAAUGUAUCUUACAUGCAUGCUUUUUAAGGUCUUCAGUGGAACCAUGUGGCCUUUUCACGUGUCAUUCUGUGCCACUUUCUGUGCAACAACCGGCUGUCGCAGAGAAACAAUCCUCAGCAUCACGGACCCUCUGAAUAUCAUUUAAACUUCACUGCAAAGGUUGAUUUGUAUCCACCUCACCAGCGAGUUUAUGUUAUGGCUUUACCGUUUGUGUGGUUUGGGAGAGGAGAGAUGAGUCGGUGACUCACUUUUGAAUCACCAUACGCACAAACUCUUUGCAGCCUCCAGUUGCACCACAAAAAGCUGCCAAAUGAUUUACUGAGUGACAAAAUACAUCAUGAAAGAGUGAGAAGCCAAAACAAAACACAGGGCUGCAGUGAUACCAGCUUAUAACAUGUCACUCAAAAUACAGGGUUGGGAGGGAGUGUGCAACAAUAAAUAGAGAUUAAAUAAAUGAGUACAGAAUGUUAUUAUAUUAAGCAAUAAGGUACGAGAGGCUGUGCUUUAUCUUUAUUGGACGAUAAAAUGCCUUAUUGCUUAAUUUAAUAACAUGGUGUAAAUAUAUCAUUCUUUAAAAUAUCACGGUUGUCCUGAUUACGUUGACACCCGAAAGCCGCCGAGUGUGACUUUCUCAGGAUGAAAAUGUUUCAUUUGUCAGCUGCAUUACCGAUAACCUGUUUCCAGAUGUUGAGUUUUAUUCACCGAAAUCUGCUCCGUCCAACACAAACAGGUGAACAUUCUUUGGCAUCCUGCAAGAAAAACGAUAUUCGAGUGACUUCAAUGAUUCAAAGCUAAAACUUGAUCAAAGCAGAGUUCCUGCUUUUGGAACUAGCUGCAUUCAGGGGACGAUGAACUCACAUUUUAUUUAGAUGUCAGAACUGAAGCGAGCGGUCGUGGCGGCGUGAAACAGCCAACAGGCUGACACAGGAGAGCGCUCGCCAGAGGCCCGAUUCAUCUCUAAGUGAGCGAGAAAUCCACUGUUUCAUAUCAUCUCCUCUUCAGGCGCGUUGAAAGGUUUUUCACUUCAACAAACAAAACAAGAAGAAAAAAAAAACACUUUGCACUAAAAUCAGAGCGCAGGAGCCGCUGUCCUUCACCACCACACCUCCACGAUCCAGAAGCCACAAACGCCUUUGACCCCGAGCCGCCGGGUUUCCUCUGCCGGGCUUCUAGAACAUUCAGAGGCGGCGGCAGCAGCAGCAGCAACAGGUGGACCUCCUUAAGCCGCGGGAGAACAGCCAAAGCAUAACAAGGCCCCCGUGGCUCCUAAGUGUGCCCUCAUUUACCGUGCACGCCCGCACGCACUCUCCGGGUUACAGGCCAUUAAGCCGCAGUUCAGCCGGAGUUCAGCGGGCACCGGGAGGCCCGCGGAGGCCCGCGGAGGCCCGUCCUCGGGGCGCUGUUUGGCUUUUCUGACCAAAUGUUAUGGUUAACUUCUUCCACGGAGCUCAAUGGGAACCGGCUCCUCUCGCCGCGGGCCGGAAAUCAAACGGGGGUUGAGUUGCAAAUAAUGGCUUGUUUUGCCGAAGGCCGGCCGCUGGAGGUUUGCCCCCCUCGGUUUAACGAACGAUUUAGCAGUUAGGGAAAAAAGCAAGCGGGGGCUUUGCCCCCAAAAUAACGAUUAAGGCUUCUAUCGGAUGUCAGCCGGGGAUCAUCAAGUGGCUCCGCAGCGUCAUAUCGUCUCACCUCGGGGCGGAAACGUGAUCACGCCGAGCGCUGCCGGCGGGGGGGGGCACGACCAUUUAGGCGGUAACCAUUAGACUCGAAGCUUUCCACGCGGCGAUGUGUCCUAGUCUCUUUGCGGUAAACUUUCCGUAACCUUAUUUUUGUUUUCAUUACUCUUUUUAUCAUCUUGGUCGGCAUCUGUUCAAGUGACAUUUUGCAAACCGUUGGGGG